rnacentral:rRNA from 1 species
AUGAAGGGGGAAGUUGUCUUGGCUGUCAAAGAAUUCUUCCGCAUAGGACAUAUGCGAGAUGACGUAAAUGACACGGUAAUGGUGCUUAUUCCAAAAGUUGACCAUCCGAUCCGGCUUACAGAUUUCGGACCAAUAAGUCUCUGCAAUGUCAUUUAUAAAAUUGCCGUGAAGUGCUUGGUAAAUAGGUUGCAACUGAUUACUGAUAAUGCGAUGUUAGCCUUUGAGUGCCUGCAUUUUAUUCAGCAUGGGGAAAAACCAGAAAAUAGCUUCUGUGCAUACAAACUGAUCUUUCAAAAGCAUAUGAUAGGGUGGAGUAGGGGUUACUUGGAGAAAGCAGUGAUCAAGUUGGCCUUCUCUCAUCAGUGGGUACAAUGGAUAAUGUCAUGUGUUACCUCGGUAAGAUAUUCCGUCAAACUUAAUGGAGCCAUCUUGGAUUCCUUUGCACCGUCGCAUGCUCUUCGGCAAGGUGACCCCCUGUCUCCUUUCUUAAUUUUUUUGUGGUUGAUGGUUUAUCCGCGUUGUUGA